rnacentral:tRNA from 1 species
GUGGGUGUAGCUCAAGGGUAGAGCACUGGGCUGUGGCCCCAGGCGUUGCGGGUUCGAGCCCCGUCACCCACCCCA